AAUUAGCCAAUCAGGAUGGAACACGCUGACUAUUGCAUAAAGUAAACUUUCGUUAUCCACGAGUGACGACAGUGGCACUUUGAUUAUUAUUUUUAUUUAGAAAUUAAAAAGAAAAAAAUUGGCACGUGGCUUAUGAGGGCCAUAAGCCCAACGAAGCCAUAGCCCAACAGACAUUUUGGACUUGAGCACACACGGUGAAUUGCGUGGGAAAAACAAAAUGGCUGCGAGAGUCAGAAAUAGCGAUUAGCAAGAUCAGAAUUUAAGGGUUGAAAGAUUUUAGGAUUACAUCAAAUCAGGGACCAAAUUUCACGUUGUCGCUCGAUGGUCAUGACAAGAUGUGUGGAUAUCAAAACUCCAUGUUUCUUCUGUGCUUUUAUGGUGGUCAAGAUUCAUAGAGUGGGAGAAUAAACCGUUCUUGAGGAUUUGCAGCACCAACAUUAGUUCCAAGAUUACUGACAGGUUCUACCUAGACUAUUUAUAUGAGAGUAAGGUUUAGUACUUGCUGUCACUUCUAAUAGAAGCUAAUCCAUGCAUAAAUAGGAUGUUUUCAAGAUCUAAAGCAUCUUUUCAGAAAAGACAUGGUGAUAACGAUCUAACAAUGAUAACAAGAUUAAUAAGUAAUACAGUAAUAACAAGACUGGACAAGCAACAAUUAUUAGAUCACGGUAUUUAAAAGUUAUUAACAAUAAUAAUUGAUGACCUUUUCUGAAAGGCCUCAAAAUUAAAAUAAUCUUAUUUGUUACAAAUGAAACGAUCAUCGUUACGUUAUUGAAAAGAAACAAUAAUUUCCCAGACUUACCCACUUAAUGUGUUAAAAUUGAGAUAUUUCAAGCUUCCAUCAUCAAAUAACUUUUUUUAUACAUAUAUACAUUGAAUAUGAAGAGUAUGAAUACAUUAAGAUUUAUGCCAGUGCAACAGUCAUACAAAGAAAAGCUUGUGAAGGCAGGUAGGGGGAACAGCUGACAAAUUGAGAAAAGGGGUAAAAUGUGAAAAAAAAAAUUGGAAAAAUAAUAACAUGGUCAAUGCAAAUCUUUUUACAGAAUUACCAGACAAUAUUCGCAUUGACCAGAAUACAGAAACUGAUAUUAUGUCCACCAUGCACUGCGUGUUUCCUUCGUGCCAAACAUGAUGAUCUAGAAGAUGCAACUGCGAGUAUAUUGCAUGGCCCUUUAACCCAAAGCAAAAUUGAAAGGUGGUGGAGGGAACUUCUGGACAGAAUGGAAAGGUUUCGUUGGUUGAAGAUGGUGACUGACUCUACUAAUAAACAAGACAGCUUUGUUCGGGGUUGACGUCAUUAAGCCAUCACGUGACCUUAUUUACUCUUCACAACAACUGUACCUACCUUAAACCCAAGGGAUUGGGAUUGCCGGUCGCUAGUAACAAAUCGGUAAGAGAAAGUUGCGUCUUCUUGCAAAGAAGUUAUUUUGGACAAAGAAUAAUGCAUUUUCGUGGCGAUUUUUUGAGACAUUGAGGUGACUAAUGCUUUUGCGUGAAAUUUGGAAGUUUUUGUUCGAUUAAUGCGGAAAAAUCUAUCGAUUAACACUUUUUCUUGUGUAAGACUGAUUGCGAAAUCUAACUGUAGUAAUUGUUUCGAAACAGUACAAACUUACUACGUAUAGUAAGGCAAAAUGACUACAAAAUGAACAAUCUUUGGAAACAAGUUCUUAUCAACAAACUAAGAGUUUUAUCAGCAUGUUAAGGAAACGAGCACGAAUAAAUGACUUGAACACUGUCAAGUAUUCACUUGAUCCUAUGCAAUUCAUUUCCUUCCCACGAAUAUGGUAAGAGCUAGAGUUAGAGGGAACCUGUGCAUGCGGAAACGAAACACCCAAGACAACAGUACCUCUGGACGUGGUGCCA